rnacentral:rRNA from 1 species
AGCGAACGCUGGCGGCAGGCCUAACACAUGCAAGUCGAACGGAUCCUUCGGGAUUAGUGGCGGACGGGUGAGUAACACGUGGGAACGUGCCCUUUGGUUCGGAACAACUCAGGGAAACUUGAGCUAAUACCGGAUGUGCCCUUCGGGGGAAAGAUUUAUCGCCAUUGGAGCGGCCCGCGUCUGAUUAGCUAGUUGGUGAGGUAACGGCCCACCAAGGCGACGAUCAGUAGCUGGUCUGAGAGGAUGAUCAGCCACACUGGGACUGAGACACGGCCCAGACUCCUACGGGAGGCAGCAGUGGGGAAUCUUGCGCAAUGGGCGAAAGCCCGACGCAGCCAUGCCGCGUGAAUGAUGAAGGUCUUAGGAUUGUAAAAUUCUUUCAGCGGGGACGAUAAUGACGGUACCCGCAGAAGAAGCUCCGGCUAACUUCGUG